GACGAACGCUGGCGGCAUGCUUAACACAUGCAAGUCGAACGGUGAACCUCUUCGGAGGGGAUCAGUGGCGAACGGAUGAGUAACAAGUGCGCAACCUGCCCCCGGCUCUGGGAUAACUCCACGAAGUAGGGGCUAAUACCGGAGGUUACCCGCUUCCCGCAUGAGCGGUGGUGAAAAGGGUUUCCGGCUGGGGAUGGGCCCGCGGCCUAUCAGCUUGGUGGUGGGGUAGUGGCCUACCAAGGCGACGGCGGAUAGGCGGCCUUAGAGGGUGAACAGCCACAAGGGUACUGCGAGAGGGAGCAGAGUCGUAUGGUGGGCAGCAGGGGGGAAUAUUGCGCAGUGGGGGGAAGCCUGACGAAGAGGCGUCGGGUGGGUAAUGCCGGUUUGUGGGUGGUAAACCCCUUUCAGCAGGGACGAAGGGCAAGUGACGGUACCUGAAGAAGAAGCACCGGCUAACUACGUG
rnacentral:rRNA from 1 species